UACGUAGGUGGCAAGCGUUGUCCGGAAUUAUUGGGCGUAAAGCGCGCGCAGGCGGUCCUUUAAGUCUGAUGUGAAAGCCCACGGCUCAACCGUGGAGGGUCAUUGGAAACUGGGGGACUUGAGUGCAGAAGAGGAAAGCGGAAUUCCACGUGUAGCGGUGAAAUGCGUAGAUAUCAAGAGGAACACCUGAGGUGAAGACGGGUUGCUGGGCUGACACUGACGCUGAGGCGCGAAAGCCAGGGGAGUAAACGGG
rnacentral:rRNA from 1 species